UCUCUAGGAAUCAAAUGUGUC
rnacentral:miRNA from 1 species